GAAGCACUUAUGAAAUCUCAGCAUAAUUCAUGGCAAACAGUGUGCCACGAUAGCGGCAUCCAGACAUCGAUCAGCGAGUCUAGAGGACUUGUUCGGCGAGAUUACAAGAUUGCCAAGAAGCGGUGUUUGAUCGGAA